rnacentral:rRNA from 1 species
CGUACGGGUGAGUAACACGUGGAUAACCUACCUAUAAGACUGGGAUAACUUCGGGAAACCGGAGCUAAUACCGGAUAAUAUAUUGAACCGCAUGGUUCAAUAGUGAAAGACGGUUUUGCUGUCACUUAUAGAUGGAUCCGCGUCGCAUUAGCUAGUUGGUAAGGUAACGGCUUACCAAGGCAACGAUGCGUAGCCGACCUGAGAGGGUGAUCGGCCACACUGGAACUGAGACACGGUCCAG